rnacentral:rRNA from 1 species
UACGGAGGGUGCAAGCGUUAUCCGGAUUCACUGGGUUUAAAGGGUGCGUAGGCGGGCAGGUAAGUCCGUGGUGAAAUCUCUGAGCUUAACUCAGAAACUGCCAUGGAUACUAUUUGUCUUGAAUAUUGUGGAGAUGAGCGGAAUAUGUCAUGUAGCGGUGAAAUGCUUAGAUAUGACAUAGAACACCAAUUGCGAAGGCAGCUCACUACACAGUCAUUGACGCUGAGGCACGAAAGCGUGGGGAUCAAACAGG